UAGAGUUUGAUCAUGGCUCAGAUUGAACGCUGGCGGCAUGCUUUACACAUGCAAGUCGAACGGCAGCGCGGGGCAACCUGGCGGCGAGUGGCGAACGGGUGAGUAAUAUAUCGGAACGUACCCAAGAGUGGGGGAUAACGUAGCGAAAGUUACGCUAAUACCGCAUGCGAUCUAAGGAUGAAAGUGGGGGAUCUUCGGACCUCAUGCUCCUGGAGCGGCCGAUAUCUGAUUAGCUAGUUGGUGAGGUAAAGGCUCACCAAGGCGACGAUCAGUAGCUGGUCUGAGAGGACGACCGGCCACACUGGGACUGAGACACGGCCCAGACUCCUACGGGACGCAGCA
rnacentral:rRNA from 1 species